GAUGAACGCUAGCUACAGGCUUAACACAUGCAAGUCGCGGGGCAGCAUGGGGGUUGCUUGCAAUCCCUGAUGGCGACCGGCGCACGGGUGAGUAACGCGUAUCCAACCUGCCCUUCACCACGGGAUAACCCGGCGAAAGUCGGACUAAUACCGUAUGUUGUCCAUUGACGGCCUCCGAUUUGGACGAAAGGCUUGGCGGUGAGGGAUGGGGAUGCGUCCGAUUAGCCAGACGGCGGGGUAACGGCCCACCGUGGCUACGAUCGGUAGGGGUUCUGAGAGGAAGGUCCCCCACACUGGAACUGAGACACGGUCCAGACUCCUACGGGAGGCAGCAGUGAGGAAUAUUGGUCAAUGGGCGUAAGCCUGAACCAGCCAAGUAGCGUGCAGGAUGACGGCCCUAUGGGUUGUAAACUGCUUUUAUGCGGGGAUAAAGUGGCCCACGUGUGGGCUUUUGCAGGUACCGCAUGAAUAAGGACCGGCUAAUUCCGUG
rnacentral:rRNA from 1 species